CCGAAAACGCAGUCGCUGGCUUUUGCCAGAGGAAAGUCCAUGCUCGCACGGUCUGCGAUGACCGUAGUGUUUGUGCCGGACGAAGUCAUAAGUCCGGGCAGCGUAAGCUGACGGCAGUUCUGAUCCUAAGGGAAACUAAGGAAGCGAACUUGAAAGUGCCACAGAGACGAGCCGGCUGUGAAAACAGCCGGGUGGAACGGGUAAACCCCGCAAGCGAGAAACCCAAAUUUGGUAGGGGAGCCGGUCGGAAUGAAUUGAAAGGAAGACUGGAUAACUUCGGUUAUAGAUAAAUGGCUGCUAGUUACAGAACAUGGCUUAUGAAU
rnacentral:RNase_P_RNA from 1 species